CAGGUCUCACUGGUGAUGCCACAGCAGUUCCUCCCUGAAUCUCUACUGGAUGGUCUCUUCUUUCCUAUCAGGACUACGUGACCUGUUGAGUGAUUACCUCUGGGACCAGUUUGUUUACUUCAAGGGAAAAAUUCACUGAACAGCCAUCAGCUACAUUCCAGAACAUUAGCCAACCACUCUGCAAAUGCACACAGUGUGGGUCUAGCACUGUCUGCCACCACUCUUGGAGAAGCAUCAUACAGAAGGGACAAAGAUUUGCUUCCAGAUGCCACUGUGGGCUCUGAAAGCAGGAACUUCAGUGAGCGGCUCUUUCCUGCUUUUGGACUACUAAUAAAAGGCCACUGGAAGUUUUAGUCUCUGGAAAUUCAUGGGACUCUACUCUUUCAAGAAGGUACUUUUGUACUUUGUACUUGAUUACCAGAGAACUUCAGUUUGAAGAUUAUGUUCCAGGACAAUGUUUGAAACUGCAAACUGCAGGGCUCAGAAUAUAUUUAUCACUCUGUGUUGUUCUGCUCCACUUGCAAGUCAUGAGCCAAAGGUACAGUUCCAUAUUUAGACUCUGACAGCCUCAUGGGUCACCUGUUAGAACAGCAGUUAGGACUCCAGGUAGAUUUGCUCUCUUUCCGCCUCCCUUGUCCUCACUUGGAUCUGCUUUACAAGUUUCACGUUGAUUAACAUGGUUACUGAAGUAGAAUGUGGUUCAUCAUUACUAAGCUGAUCCAAAUGAGUUUGGAAUUUACCUCCAUGAAGCACAAUUCUGCCUGCAUUUCUUCAUCUUUGCUUAAACCCAACACCUGCUGGAAGGUAAAGCUGGAUGCCCUGGUGUGCAAUCCAUGGAACAGUG
rnacentral:lncRNA from 1 species